GACCGUGUGGUGUAAUGGUUUGAGUGUUGGAUUAUGACUCUGGAGACCAGGGUUCAAAUCCCAGCCCAGCCA